rnacentral:rRNA from 1 species
GGAUAAAUUAAUAUAAAUAAAUUAAAUAUAUUUACACUAUUUUGUCUACUCCAUUUCUAUUUCUACUUUUGCCUUAUUACUAUCAAUCCUAUGUAGGAACACUUUUCCUUUUGUCUUUGCAAAGCAAAGGAAAAGUAGUAUGCUCCUCUCCCUCCCUAAAGGAGGGUCCUAGGGCUAAAUAUAACUGCAAAGGUGUAUAUUAAAUAUGGAAAAACAAAAAAAGUAAAAUAACUUAUUUAUAAAUAACUAUCACUCAAUCCAGUCUUAAAUAAAAAAAAAAGAAAAAACAAUAUAAUAAAAAUAAAAAUAAUAAUACAAAUUACUAUUUAUAUAAAUAAAUACUUUCUCCUUAUUAUUUAAUAAGAGGGAUUGGCUAUGCAAGAACUGGUA